GAUGAACGCUGGCGGCGUGCCUAAUACAUGCAAGUCGAGCGAAUGGAUUAAGAGCUUGCUCUUAUGAAGUUAGCGGCGGACGGGUGAGUAACACGUGGGUAACCUGCCCAUAAGACUGGGAUAACUCCGGGAAACCGGGGCUAAUACCGGAUAAUAUUUUGAACUGCAUGGUUCAAAAUUGAAAGGCGGCUUCGGCUGUCACUUAUGGAUGGACCCGCGUCGCAUUAGCUAGGUGGUGAGGUAACGGCUCACCAAGGCAACGAGGCGUAGCCGACCUGAGAGGGUGAUCGGCCACACUGGGACUGAGACACGGCCCAGACUCCUACGGGAGGCAGCAGUAGGGAAUCUUCCGAAAUGGACGAAAGUCUGACGGAGCAACGCCGCGUGAGUGAUGAAGGCUUUCGGGUCGUAAAACUCUGUUGUUAGGGAAGAACAAGUGCUAGUUGAAUAAGCUGGCACCUUGACGGUACCUAACCAGAAAGCCACGGCUAACUACGUGCCAGCCGCCGCAGUAA
rnacentral:rRNA from 1 species